rnacentral:rRNA from 1 species
GCAUCGAUGAAGAACGCAGCGAAUUGCGAUAUGUAUUGUGAAUUGCAGAUUUUCGUGAAUCAUCAAAUCUUUGAACGCACAUUGCGCCCUCUGGUAUUCCAGGGGGCAUGCCUGUUUGAGCGUCAUUUCUCUCUCAAACCUUUGGGUUUGGUAGUGAGUGAUACUCGUCUCGGGUUAACUUGAAAGUGGCUAGCCGUUGCCAUCUGCGUGAGCAGGGCUGCGUGUCAAGUCUAUGGACUCGACUCUUGCACAUCUACGUCUUAGGUUUGCGCCAAUUCGUGGUAAGCUUGGGUCAUAGAGACUCAUAGGUGUUAUAAAGACUCGCUGGUGUUUGUCUCCUUGAGGCAUACGGCUUUAACCAAAACUCUCAAAGUUUGACCUCAAAUCAGGUAGGAGUACCCGCUGAACUUAAGCAUAUCAAUAAGCGGAGGA